UCAUUAUCGAAAUGUAAAACCAAUGAUAUUUCGUUAAUGUUAAAGAGACUCGAAGUUUUGGAUCGAUUAUCAUAUCGUAAUAUUGGCUUAUAUUUUAAUGAAACAGUUUUGAUAUGUAAUCAUUUCUCGAUCAUUUUCUUAUUGGAAUGUAUUGGAUUAUAUUUCCUCAUGUAUUCGACUUUGAGCAGUACAAAUAGUACAACCAAUCAAUAAAAUCUCUGACUACUAUGCCAAAACCC